AAGUCGUAACAAGGUUUCCGUUGGUGAACCAGCGGAAGGAUCAUUACAGAGUUCAUGCCCUUACGGGUAGAUCUCCCACCCUUGAAUAACUUACAUUGUUGCUUUGGCGGACGCUUCGGCAGCCGCCAGAGAACCCUAAACUCUUGUUUACAGUGUCGUCUGAGUACUAUAUAAUAGUUAAAACUUUCAACAACGGAUCUCUUGGUUCUG
rnacentral:misc_RNA from 1 species